rnacentral:lncRNA from 1 species
GGGGUAGUGGUUCUCCUGCGGUUGGAUCACCCUAGUUCUUUUAAUUUUUCUUAUUGAUUUACCAUUUUCAAUUAAUUAUUUGUUCAUCAAUUUCCGUCCUACAUCAUAUUGGCAUCAAAGCUUUGUUUCUCCAUCAAUUUCUUAAUUUUUGGGAUAUGUUGGGUUUUCAAAAAAAAAAAAAAAGUUACUGUAUAUAGCCGGAGUUAUUGUUUAUCGGAGUACUGUCCAUCGCCAGAGUUACUGUUCAUCGCGCUUCGCAGUUCAUUAAAAAAACCAGUUGCUGUGUUGUUUUGGAAUAGGGAGGUAACCCUAACUUUUCUAAUUUAAAUUAAAAAGCCUUGCAAAUUAUCUUUUAGUACCCCAAACUUCCACUCUCCAUUUAAAUAUUGCCCCACAGUUUAUUAGUUUACAUUUUUCACCCUUGUUUCUUGCAUAAAGAGUCCUAAACUUUUAACCUUAGCACUUUUCACCCCAGUCUAAUGCUUUCUGAUUAGUUAGGUCAAAAAAAAAUUAAAAAUUUCAAUUUUGAUUAUUAAGAUUUUAAAUAUUUCUUGAAUUCUCUUCAUUCAUUAGUACUAAAAUUUUGAAAGCUUGUUUUGGAUUUAUUAUUUUAAAUUGCAUAUUAUUCCAUUUAGUUUUAUAUUAUUCGACUAUUAUUAUUAGCUUUUGAGAUUGUGAUUGCAUAAGCUUAGACUUGUAAAUUUAAUUUUCUUUCAGUUAAAUUUCUAUAUUGUCUAUGUUUUGCACUCGCAUUUGCAUCAUGACUACACGUACCCAAGCUGCUUUAGAAGAAAUUCAGGGCUAAUUAGUGACCAUAGUUCAUAGUUGCACAACUGGGUCAAAUGAAUGAUAGGAUCACACACAUUGAACAAAGACAACCUGUAGUGGAAUCUCAGGAGAAUAAUGAGAAUGGGCAUAUCGAAACCUCACAUGUUAGGCACCAUGAACAUCCUAGGCAUGAUCCUUAUGAUGAUGACUAUAGAAAAAUCUAGGUAGAUGCACCUGAGUUUGACAAUAGAUUUGAUCCCAAUACAUCCAUGAUUGGUUGUCUAGUAUGGAGAAGUAUUUUGACUGGGUAAGAGAUGCCUGAGGAUAAGAGGGUGCUAUUCGCCAAAAUGAAUUUGGUAAAAUUGGUCAGUUUAUUCUAGUUAGGGGUUGCGAGAGACUUAGAGCAUCUAGGGGAGCCACCUAUUAGGCAUUUGGGGGAGAUGAAAGCUCGCCUAAAGCAAUAUUAUUUACCUAAAUGACAUUAAUGGAGCAGUAUGACAACUUUCGUCAAGGUAAUAAUGUUUGUUGCUGCUUACAUCUAGAGAUUUAGGGAGUUGACUCAAAGAUGUAGGAUCAGUGAGAGUGAUAAAUUGACCAUUAUGAAGUUCAAGAGUGAAUUACGACUUGAACUUCAAUCACACAUCCUGUGACCAGUGGCAUCACUACUGUAGAUGACCUUUUCUAGUUAGCUCUAGAUAAUGAUUAUAGGUUACAGGGUAUCGCCAAGAGAGUCUCUUCUUACUCAAGCCAGCCCAGUAACUGAAAUUUCUCGCAAGGUAGACCUUUCCCCACUUCUCAAGCGUCCUCUAGGGCUAGUAACUCCAUAGUCGGGUCAUUUCAUGACAAAGGGAAGGGUGUAGCUGCACCCAACUCUCAGUCUACUACCCAGGAGUGGUGUUUUACGUGUCAGGGGUUAGGGCACAAGUCUUUUGAGUGCUCCAAUUGCAAUUGACAACGGGUAACAAUAGUUGGGGAAACUUUAAAAAAAGAGGGGGAUAUUGUCGGAGCCAAAGUCGAUGGUUAGUAUGACUCGCAGGAUGAGGGGGUUGAUAAGCACAUAGAGGAGAUAGGUAAUGAGAUAGGUGUCAUGAGGUGUGUAUUCACAAGUCAUAGGAAAGAGGAUGAUUGUAGGAGAACCAUCAUAUUUCAAACUUACAACAAAGUAGAUGGUGUCUCUUCUAAGUUGAUUGGGGGUAGUUGCUUAAAGGUGGUUGCUAAGUCCGCCUUACCACGGAUGAAGCUAAAGGCAGAACCAUAUCCCCAACCUUUUAGCGUCUCCUGGGUCAACAAGACAUCCAUUCUUGUGUCAAAGAGAUGUCUAGUAUCGAUCCACCUUCAGGGCUAUGAGGAGAGUAUUUGGUGUGAUGUACUUCCUAUAGAUGUUGCACAUAUUCUAUUAGGGCGACCUUGGCUAUAUGACCGUGAUGUGACUCAUUGUGGGAGGACGAACAUGUGUUUACACACACGGGGCAGAAAAUAUCAUUAGCACCUGUGAGACUGUAACACCCCAGUUCCACAUCGAAAGAUAGGUGAAAAAUUUGUCUGCAUAUAAGGAAAUAAGUUACUACCAAUUGUACCUUCAAGUCAUGACCUUUUGGGAGCCCGUGGUGGGCUAAGAUGACCAAGAAGAUACUAUUGGGCCAGUAGUCUGAGGCCUUAUUUUGAUGGAUUUGAUUCGAUUCAGACUUGGGAUUUGACCUGAGAUUUAUUCCGGACUCGGGAUUUGACCCGGGUUGUUUCAUAUGGUAUCAAAGCCGACUCUCGAAAGCUCGGGUCGGGUCAUCCGAUCGGGUUGUCGGAUGUGGGGACACGAAGGCUGGUGGUAUUAUCCCACAAUGGAGAGAUGAAGGUCCGGAGGUGGGGACACGAAGCCAGCCGGUAUUAUCCCACAAUGGCUAGAGAGGCAAAGAUCUUUGGGCCGUGUGUGUGAUCGGUUCUGACGGGGACGUCAAGAAAUUUAAGUGGGGGAGUUUGUAACACCCCAGUCCCACAUCGAAAGAUAGGGGAAAAAUUUGUCUGCAUAUAAGGAAAUAAGUUACUACCAAUAGUACCUUCAAGUCAUGACCUUUUGGGAGCCUGUGGUGGGCUAAGAUGACCAAGAAGAUACUAUUGGGCCAGUAGUCUGAGGCCUUAUUUUGAUGGAUUUGAUUCGAUUCGGACUUGGGAUUUGACCUGAGAUUUAUUCCGGACUCGGUAUUUGACCCGGGUUGUUUCAGAGACCCCGAGUGUCGUCCAAGAGUCAACCAAAGGAGACUAGCUUACCUACCUAACAAACCAAAUUACUACAUAUUCUUAAUAGAAAGGAGUUUGAGCGGAGUGUGUUGGAGGAGAAAGUUGUGUAUGCAGUGGUAGCUAGAGAGGUGAGAGAUGUUCCUGAAGAGAGUACUAGAGAGAUUCCUAAUGAUGUUAGACAGAUUCUACAUGAGUUUGUUGAUGUUAUGCCUAGUGAGUUACCCGAUGAGUUACCACCUAUUAGGGACAUCUAGCAUGCCGUUGACCUUCUUUUGGAGUCUUCUUUACUAAACCUGCCACAUUAUAGGAUGCAUCCCACAUAGUAGACUGAGAUGAGACGACAGGUAGUUGAGUUGUUGAGGAAGGGUCUCUGUUCUAAAAAUCGGUCUAGGCGGCCUCCUAGGCGGCGCUUAGGCGCUAGGCGGGGGCCUGACGCCGCACCUAAGGCCAAAUCGGUGAAAAAAGCAGGCUAGGCGGGAAGGCGGGCAAGGCGGAGUUUUUUUAAAAUUUUUAAAAUUACUACCAAAAUCAAAUCUUAAUAUAUUUAUUUUUCUAAUGAUUUAUCAUAUUCUUAAUGCAAGUUGUAGCAUAUCAAAUCACAACAAGAAGUGAACAAGAUAAAGUCAAAAUGGAUAAUUUUAUUAUAGUUGUAAUUUUUUGAACUUGUACCAACUUGAAAUUCUAUAAAUGAUACAUUUGUAAUAUUUAGUUUAAUUCAAUAUAAUUAUUAAAUUUAUGUUUAGUUUCUUAAGUUUUAAUAUUGAAUCGAAUUCUUAAAAUUUAAAUUUUAUUAUUUAAUACCAAAUUUGUUUAUGAAUAAAACUAAUACGUCAAAGAUAUGUUAGUCAUACUUAGUAUAUGGUAUUUGUCAUUUUCUUUAAGUCCUCAAUUUAAAAUUACACAAAAAUAAAAAAUCCCGCCUAGGCCCCCCUGGCCGCCCGCCUUUUAGAACAUUGUGAAGGGCUUUGUUAGACAUGCCAUUGACCUUGUGUCGUUCUAGCCUUAUUCAGCCCCAAGGCUGAUGGGAGUUUGAGGAUCAUAAAUAAGACCACUAUCAAGUAUAGGUUUUCCAUACCUAGGCUUUAUGACAUGCUCGGUAUGAUGACUGGGGCUCAUGUUUUCACCAAAAUAGACUUGCGGAGUGGAUACUACCAAAUCCGCGUCCGAGAGGGAGUUGAGUGGAAGACUGUCUUUAAGACAGGGGACAUGUUUUAUGUGUGGUUAGUCUUACCUCUUGAUUUUAUCAAUACACCCAACACAUUUAUGAGAGUUUUGACUUUUGAAUCAGGAGCUACGUCCUUUCAUAGGCAAGUUUGUAGUGGUUUAUUUGAUGACAUCCUCAUUUAUAGUAAAACCUGAGAGGAACAAUUAACUUGCGACAAAUUCUAGCAGUUCUUCUACGUGAGAAACUCUAUGUUAAUUUGAAGAAGUGUUCUUUUGUUCAAGAGUUGGUCAUUUUUCUCGGGUUUGUGAUCGCCGAGAGGGUUUCUGUCGAGCCAGAGAAAGUAAAGGCUAUUAAGGAGUGGCUUGAACCUUCUAAUAUUCACGAAGCUUGAAGCUUCCAUGGGCUAGCUACGUUUUAUACGAGGUUCAUUAGAGAACUUAGUACCAUUAUGGUCCCAUCACUGAUAGUUUGAAAAAGGGAGAGUUUGUUUGGUCUUAAUCGGCUACUAAAACCUUUGUGAAAAUCAAGAAUAGGUUGACACAGGCACAUGUUCUCUUGCUACCAGACUUUAGUAAAGUGUUUGAGGUAGCAUGCAACGCUUCAGGCGUAGGGAUAGGGGGUGCUUAGUUAAGAGGGUCAUCCGAUAGCGUUCUUUAGUGAGAAAUUGAAUGAGGCUCGACAAAAGUACUCUACCUAUGAAUUAUGAUAGAGAGUUUUAUGCUAUACUCCAAGCACUUAGGUAUUGGGGACAUUUUUUGUUGUAUAUGGAGUUUGUUCUUUAUCAUCAGACACUUUAGUACCUUAGCUCCCAAAAGAAAUCGAGUCAUCAACACGCUAGGUGGGUAGAGUUUAUCCAAGAGUAUUCUUUUUUCCUUAAACAUUGCAAAGGGACAAAGAAUGUGGUUGCUGAUGCGUUGAGUAGGGUGUCCAUCCUUGUCAACUCUUUGAGAGUGAAGGUUGUGGGAUUUGAACGCAUUAUCUAGGAGUACCCUACUUGUCGAGACUUUAGUGACAUUUGUGCUACCCUACAAAAUCCUAGUUCCCCACCCUCUAGUGAUAUUCGUAUCCAUGAUGUGUAUCUUUUUAUGGACACCCGCUUGUGUAUUCCUAGUACAUUGAUGCGUGAGUAUUUAUUGUGGGAGUUAUACGCGGGAGGAUUAGCUGGAUACUUUGGUUGAGAUAAGACCAUUGUCAUUGCAGAGGAUAGGUUCUUUUGGCCUAGCCUCAAGAGAGAUAUAACUCGUGUUGUUUUUGAGUGCCGCACAUGUCAGACUGCUAAGGUUAGGAAGCACAACUUGAGUUUGUACGCUCCACUUCCGGUUCCUCAUAUACCUUGGGAGGAUUUUAGCAUGGAUUUUGUCAUGGGGUUACCGAGGACCCAGAGGGGUCAUGAAUCAGUUUUUGUUGUAGCGAACCGUUUCACUAAGAUUUCACAUUUUAUUCCUUGCAGCAAAAUUGAUAAUGCCUCACAUAUUGCUAUGAUUUUCUUUAGUGAUGUAGUGAGAUUGCGUGGGUUAUCAUUGACUAUAUUUUUUGAUAGAGAUGUUAAAUUUAUGAGUUAUUUUUGGAAAACUCUUAACACCAUGCUUAAGUUUUCUACUGCUUAUCAUCCACAGACCGAUGGUCGGACUGAGGUUGUUAAUAGGAGUUUAGGUGAUCAUGUGUCUACAUGGAAUAAGGUUUUACCUAUGGCUGAGUUUGCAUAUAAUAGCUCAGUUAAUCGUUCGACUGAAGUGAGUCCUUUUCAGGCUUACGCUGAUUAUCAGCCUAGGAAACCUGUUGAUCUAGCUUCUCUUCCCACUGCAUAUAGGGCUAGUGAGUCUGCAGAGUCUUUUGCGCAUCACAUUCAAGAUUUGCAUGCUGAGAUAAGAAAGAAAAUUUAAGCAAUUAAAAUUAUAAGUCUGCUGCAGAUGUUCAUUGCAGGUAUCAAGAAUUUAAUGAGAACGAUCGAGUGAUGUUACGACACCAUACUGAGAGAUUACCUCCUGGCACAUGGAAGAAAGUGUAUGCUAAGAGGAUGGGUCCAUUUGGAGUUCGAAAGAAGGUUAGCGCUAAUGCAUAUACAAGUUGGAUCUUCCGAGUGAAAUGGAGUAUUGGUCCCGAAUUCAAUGUGGAAGACCUUAUUCCUUAUCAUGGGCCUUCUAUGAUUUUUUCCCUCUUCCACUUCUUUUCCUACUACUUCACCUACACCUCGUAUUCUUCCUACACAGCGUACAAUAGAGGUUAUUGAGAAUGUUUUUGAUGAGUGAGUUGUGGUGAACGGGCAGGGUGGUUAUUGUCAGUUUUUGGUGAAGUGGUGCAAAAAGACUCCGGAUGAUUGUACAUGGAUUAGUGUUGAGGAGUUCCGUCGACUUAAUUCAUACCUUUUGGAGAGAUAUGAGACUUUCACUUCACCAAAAGCUUCUUUUUCACAGCUGAGGAGGGUUGAUAGGAAUCGAUCCAUGAGACGACGUCGUCGUAGAUGAUUUGCUAUGUAACUAUUUAUUUAUCAGUUGUCUAUUUAUUUAGUUUGUUAGACUUCUUAUUUAUUGGUUUAUUUCAGUAUUGGGUUAUUUAUUUAGAGGUCCAAUUGUUACUGGACUUGGGGUUAUUAGAGUUUAUUUUUUAAUAAAUAUGUAUGCAAGUCAUGUUAGACUCUUUACACUUUGAUAUUGAAAUUAUCCUAAUAAUUAGUUGCGAUCAAUAUUUUUCCUCUUUACUGCGGUUGGGAAACCCUAGGGGUCGUAGUUCUCCUGCGGAUAACCCUAGUUCUUUUAAUUUUUCUUAUUGAUUUACGACUUGCAAUUAAUUAUUUGUUCACCAAUUUCCGUCCUACAUCAUCAUAAAAGGCAGUGAUUUCCUCAGCCCUACUUGUGGAUCACUGAGCAGGCACCAUCAAAUCAAUAUGUAGGAAUGUCCAGCCUUCUCGUUAAAAUCUCUCGGCAUCAUAAAAGGCAGUGACUUUCCCAGCCCUACUUGUGGAUCACUGAACAGUCACCAUCAAAUCGAUGUGUAGGAACCUGUCCACAUCAAACUGAAUGUCUUAACCUUCCCGCUUCAAUAGCAAAAGAAUUUUAUGAGAGGCUGCAACUGCCGGAGCAAUUGCUAGUAGGCGGAGCAAUUGUUAGGCACCAUUCUGCUUGCUCCCUGUAGCAUUCUUCAAUAGGGAAAAAAAUCUUAUUAUUAUAAAACCGAAAGGAAAUUAUGAUUAACCUUAGGAAAUGAAACCCUAACCCCAACAACUAACAAAAAUAAUAUUUUGCCAGUUGACUGCAUAUUUUAUUUUAUUUUAUUUUGGUGCAGCCUGCUUCAUAUUUACUUCCAUAUGCAUAUGGUUUCGUUGUACAUAAAGCAGCAUAAAAUAAUUAAAAAUGUGCAUGUGCAACGACAUUUGUUAACUAACCAACUCAUCUAAAACCUUGAGCUGGUAGUCUGGUAGAUAGAGGCUCAACAAUGUAUAUCAUGCUAACAUUCCCCUCACAUNNNNNNNNNNNNNNNNNNNNNNNNNNNNNNNNNNNNNNNNNNNNNNNNNNNNNNNNNNNNNNNNNNNNNNNNNNNNNNNNNNNNNNNNNNNNNNNNNNNNCUGAGAGAUUGACCAGGGACCUCUUAAGAUCUGAUAUGGCAAUAGGUGGAGAGAUCCAUUUGGUUUUUUUUGUUUGGGAGUGGGGGUGGGGGUGGGGGUGGGGGGGGAUGCUUCACAAUUAUCACUGUGGUCGAGCUCUUGCACACAUAUUUGAGUGUAAUAUCUAAAAUUUGAUCUGUUUGACAUAUAUAUGUAAUAUUGUAAUUAUUUCAAAACUCCCAAAAACCCCAUGGUAUGUCAUGCGUUGUGAUGAUCUGCAGUACAUAACUCGUCUUGUUUAAUUUUGUAUUGAUGUUUGCAUUAGCUACCUAUCCCGCAUACGUUGGAUUUAUCAUGUUCAAUAUAUCCCCAUAUUGUCGUAAAGGUUCCAACUUUAAGAUCAGCCUAUCUUUGGCUGGAAGGUGUAAACCUGUUGGGUUCGAAUCCCUUUUGAAGAAGCCCUUUCAGGUCCCAUAGUAGCAACAGAUUGGCGUGCCCAGAAGGAAGGCAACUCUGCAAGUGAGAGUCCUUGGCUCUCAAAGAGAGAAGGCAAAGAAUGUGGUUAUAGCUCCUAUUGAAAAUUGGGUAUUUGAGGUGCCAAAUCUAGUAGAGUUGCACAAAACAUACCUAUAGUUAUUGUAAUGAUACAAAUUCAGAAAAUUUGUUUCCGUUAGAAGAAAAAAAAUCUUAGGACAUCCAAUUUACCUUGUUUUGAACUUAGAUAUACUAUUCUCUCUUUCCUCCAAACAAUUUUUUCUCCCUUCCAACAUUUCUCAUGCACAUUUGGACUGGCUGAUGAUCUCUCUUAUAUGAUGAUCACAGAAUUUCAUUUGUAGCUUCCUAGAUCAUUAUGUCACUAUGCUAUAAGAAAAGCCCUUUGGUGAUUCAGAAUGUUAAUGGGUAAUUAAUUUAUGUGGCAUUAACUUUAAUCGACUCUUCUACUUUUUUUGUUCUCAAUCGUACAGAUGAAGAAAAAUCAGCCAAACACAAAUGAAGAUCAAACAUCAGCGUAAGUUCAAAUGCUGUUUUGUUUGGUAUUCUUAGCAUGUAGGAAAAAUUAAUACAUAUCUCAGUGUAUUAAGAACUUAUGCUUUAGUUGGGUUUUUUGUGCGUAUUAAUAGUCGUUACUGUAGGAUUAUUUGAAUGUUCAUCUUUAAAAUUGAAGCCUGGACCUAACUUUGAAGCCAAUGUUCUAAAAGGAGUUAAGUGGGAGGUGGGCAGCCGGGGGGGCCUAGCGCCUAUGGGGCCUAGGCAAAAUUUUUUAUUUUAAUCCAAUUUUAAUAUUUUAUCUUACAUUUAUCCAAACAAAACAAUAAUAUAAAGUAAAACUAUUAUAAUAAAGAUAAUAAAGGUUUUUGGUUAAAGUUCAAACACAUAUCCAUAUUGGCAAUGUCAAAGUUCAAACACAAACAUGCAAUUGUUGAAAGUUCAAACAUAUCUUUAACGUAUUAGUUUUAUUCAUAAACAAGAUUGCUAUUAAAUAAUAAAAUUUAAAAUUUCAAGAAUUCAAUUCAAUAUUAAAACUUAAGAAACUAAACAUAAAUUUAAGAAUUAUAUUGAAUUAAACUAAAUAUUACAAAUGUAUUAUCAUUUAUAUAAUUUGAAGUUGGUACAAGUUGAAAACAUUACAACUAUAAUAAAAUUAUCCAUUUUGACUUGAUAUUGUUCACUUCUUGUUGUGAUUUAAUAUGCUACAACUUGCAUAAUGAAUAUGGUAAAUAAUAAAAUAUAUAUAUAUCAAGAUUUGGUUUGGGUAGUUAUUAAAAUUAAAAAAAAUACCUCUCCGCCUAGCCCGCUUAAUUUUUUGGAGGGAUUUUUUUGCCGCAUUGGGCCUAGGUGAAGCGCUAGGGGGGGCUAGCGCCUAGGCAGGGCGCCAGGAGGGGCCUAGCGCCUAGGCAGACCUAGGCGGAGAUUUUUAGAACACUGUUUGAAGCUCAAACCUAAUAUUUUGACAUAGUGAUUAAAGUAAUGGCAUAGUUGGUGUGCAAUUAAUAUGACUUUUGAGAUGUACUUAGCAAUGUCUAACUCAAAUGCUUAUUAUUCAAAUAAAAUAUGUUGCACAAGUUAUUUGACAAAUAUUUAUUUGUGAUAGGAGAGAGUGUCAAGUUCAAAUGGGUGAAAAGAUGGGAAAUCUUUUACUAUAUGAGCCUUCUUUCAUGUUUAUACAAGCAAUAGCUCCAACAAGCUCAACUUUAUCUAGCUUAAAAGUACAAGGAUCUUUUUAUGUGUUAUUUAGAUGUAAUAAUUUUAGUCAAAGAUAAAACACAAUAAACGCAUAGAAGGUACUUCAUCAAAGCAAUACUUAAAAGACAUUAAGGUUGAAACAAUACAGUAAAGAUCUCAAAACAGACUUGGUUUGGAAAGAACUGCCUAUGCUAAAAUGUCUUUUUAAAGUUUAAAAAGAGAGGGAAAAUCUAAUGAUUAAAUUUCUCUUAGUUCACAUUAUUUGCUUCUAAUAAUUGUGGAGUGACUCGAUUAUGCUAAAAGUUCCAUGAAUAAACUCAUACAAGGUACUUCAUCAAAGCAAUACUUAAAAGACAUUAAGGUUGAAACAAUACAGUAAAGAUCUCAAAACAGACUUGGUUUGGAAAGAACUGCCUAUGCUAAAAUGUCUUUUACUUUAAAAAGAGAGGGAAAAUGUAAUGAUUAAAUUUCUCUUAGGUCACAUAAUUUGCUUCUAAUAAUUAUUGAGCGACUUGAUUAUACUAAAAGUUCCAUGAAUAAACGCAUACAAGGUACUUCAUCAAAGCAAUACUUAAAAGACAUUAAGGUUGAAACAAUACAGCAAAGAUCUCAAAACAGACUUGGUUUGGAAAGAACAGCCUAUGCUAAAAUGUCUUUUACUUUAAAAAGAGAGGGAAAAUCUAAUGAUUAAAUUUCUCUUAGUUCACAUAAUUUGCUUCUAAUAAUUAUUGAGUGACUUGGUUAUACUAAAAGUUCUCAUAGAUAUUCAGUUUUGGUAUAAGACAAUGUUCAUAUAACUAACUGAUAGGGAAUGUUGGUGUAUAGGGUCAUAUCCUCUCGAAACUUGCUGGUUGGAAAUAUACAUGUGCUCUUCAAUCCAAAACGUGGAGACAUUAAGCUGGGUCAGGUAUUGAUUGUCCUAUUAUGUGUGAUACGGAAGAUAUGCUACUGUGACUUGUUUGGAUAUCUUUUGUUCAUUUUACUUGUUGGAUAUCUAAACUUCUCAAUAGAUGUAUGGGAGUUUAGUAUAGUACAUUCAUGGUUAAGAAAGAGCUCAAGUGUAAUGCUCUUUUUGAUUGAUUCUGAAGAAUUUGUUGAAUUGUAACAUUAAAUGUCGUAGGUCCGAGUGUUUCUAGAGAAGGCCCGUACACUAUCAGAGGAAUGGGGAAAUAUACCAACUUUAAUUGGUGGGGACCUAAAUAGUAUGCCGCAGGUAUUUCACUAGCAUGUAAUUGUUAUACUUGUAUUUUGUUUGGAGUAAAUGCACAAUAUUGGUUUCCUUUAUGGCUUUAAUACUUUAUAUUUAUAUCUUCUUGUGUAUUCUUUUUUCAUAACUCUGUGUAUUUUCUGUCAGAGUGCUAUGUAUCACUUUCUGUCUUCAUCUGAGGUGAGUGUUCUGGUUAUGGUCUUAUGCCAAACCUAUAGAAACUAGUAUGUAAUUAGCAUACUUACGUAGAUGUUUAGUACUUGAAAGGCAUUUGUUUAUGUAUGUCUUAUGAUGGGAUUCUAGCUACAAUACAAAAUUAAGGAGGUUUGAAUUUGUUUCAGUUGGAUGUUCGAUUACAUGAUCGAAGAAAAAUAUCUGGGCAGAUCCGUCUGUUAGAGUACCCGGCAUUCUUAUCUUACAACAGAUAUCCCUCCAGGUUGUCUUGAUUUUUGUCACUAGUCUUUCAAUCUUGUAUGCUUUUGAAUUGUCUUGGGCACCAAGUUGAAGAUUGUUCGCUCGCAUAUAGAAUUGCAAUUCAAGUUGAACAUAUAUAUAUUAAUCACCAAAGUGAAGUUUAUAUGAUGUUCUUGAUCGCCGUGAAAUAAGAAAAUUUUAAAAUAGUCUCCUUUUUAUAUACAGAAUGGCAACAUUUUUUUUCCUGGUCUCUGACAAUUAUUGCAUAGGUGGACUGGAGAAGAAUUAAGGCUAGCCACUGGAACUGAAAGAGGGACGCAUGUUAAACACCAAUUGAAGCUACACAGUGCGUACCUUGGAGUUCCUGUAAGAUAAUCAUAUCCUUUUAUAUCUAUCUUGCUUGCUGCAGUUUUAUCAAUUUCAACACAGUACUUGCUAGUCUGACUGAUCUGCAUAUCAAUUUCUACUUGUAUCCCUAGGAUCGCGCCAAUUCUAUGUUUUUCUUACAUAAUUGUCUCUCAUAUUUUUGGUCUUCCCAGGGAAGCUCUAGAUCGCGAGAUAGUUAUGGAGAACCCUUGGCAACGACAUACCACUCCCAAUUUAUGGGAACUGUUGAUUAUAUAUGGUAGAUAAUUAUUUAGUAUUAAAGAAGAAUGUUUUCUAUAUGCCCUUCAAAGCUAUAAUCACUAAUAAUAGUGAUGAAACAGGCAUACAGAGGACCUUGCUCCCGUUAGAGUUCUUGAAACCUUACCCAUUGAGAAUUUGAGAAAAUUAGGAGGACUUCCAAGCAAGGUAUCUUUCAGCUCUCUUAAUAUGGGCGUUAACAUAUAAGCUUUCAACAUCUCUGACUUCAGCAAUCAAGAUUCCGACCAGAGCUAAUAAUCUCUUAAGACUUUCUUAUAAUUUUGAUUUGCAAUCGCCAGAAUCUCCAGAUCUCCUUCAAACCAAUUGUAAAUCAAAUUAAAUCAUAAAUCAUUUUCAGUUGUAUUCAUUGAGACAUAACUGCUGUUACGUAGUAUACUUGCUAGUAAAAUACGAACAUGAUCAGGUUACGUUUAUUAAGUUCUGCGUCGUCUUUUAUUUGAAUUAGUUUUUUUUUCUUCUAAAUCUUAUUGUUUUUAUUUUCUUAACGUCUUUUGCAGAACUGGGGUAGUGAUCAUCUUGCUCUUGUAUGUGAACUGGCUUUUGCCGAUGACGAUAUUGGUGACUAGACUUGCACCUCUAGUCUAUCCUUCAACUAUUCUCUUGUUCCUUGUAGCUGUAUAUACGAUGGAAGCAGCUUAUUUAACAUUUGUUAAAGUAUAAUUUAGGACAUGUUUAUGGGAUAAGUACUGGAUUGAUUCCCUAUUAGUGUUGAUUACUAGGUUAUAAAUUAAAAUUUAGGAUUAUUUCUUAGUUUUUUAUUGAGGGAUAGAACUAGCAGUCUGCAGUUCAUGACUCAUGACCAUUGACAUGGAAGUAUAUAAAUAAUACUAUAGCUCAUCUGUACAGCUUAGCUUAUGCACUUGACUUUAAUUUUAUAUCAAUUCUAAUACUCCGUCAGUUCCGUUUUACAAUAUUGAGUUUUUAAAAUUUAAUUUGAAAUAUUUUUAAAUUUAUAAUUGACAUAAUUCAUUUGAGCUUUGAAAAUAAUAAAUGUAGUACUUUUUAGGUAGUUUAUAAUUAUAUUGACAUAAAUAAAAUAAAUUUAUGUCAAUUUUAAGUUUGAAAUUGACUUUUAAAAGUCAAUAUUAGUUUUGUAAUUUGAAAGGAACGGGGACGGAGUAUUAUUCAUACAAAGUUAUAUUUAUGUUGUUGAACCGCUUACUGAGCAAUGGUACGUAUUUAGAUUGACUUGUUUCUAUAAGUAGAAAGUUGUGUAUAAAAGAGGUGACUAUAUUGCUAGGCAGCUUUAUGGUUUACCUUAUUACUAUUUAUAGAGCCGAUAAGGUUGAUUUUAUGUUAUGUGAAUAUGUGGCAACAGGAUUCGGUUAGCAUUAAAUUUAUUUUUUGGUAAGUUGAUUAAUUGGCCAAUAGAAUACUGACACAAAUAGAGAAUCAUUUGCGUGUCAGCACUCUAUUGGUCAAUUGACUAACUUACCCAAAAUAAAUUUCAUACUAACCACUUUCGUGACAACAUAUAUAGAUGAGCAAUUCUUCUACGAGGACCAGAUCCUCCCAACCGGGCUAGCCAACGGUCCCAAUUUUUUUUUUAUAAUAUUUAUUAUAAUUAAAUUUUUUACAGAAUUCUGUGAUUUAAGUGUCAUUUGGAUAUAUGCAAAAAAAUAGGGUUGCACAGACUGUACAACUCUAUUUUUUAUAUGUUUUCAAAUAACACCUAAAUCACGGGAUUCUGUAAAAAUUUCAAUUCCAAUAAAUAUUAUAAAUUAUUUAGAAUUCAUAAAAAAAAAAACAAAAAAAUUGGGACCGGUCGCUAGCCUGGACCCCGGUCGGCAGGAUCCGGUCCCCCAAGACUAGUUGAAUUUCUUUACCUUUCCUUUUCAAUGACCAAACCCCUUUAAAUAAAAGUCCGAAAGAGUUGAAAAUGGGAAUAACCUGAAAAUUAACCUUGAAUUUCAUCGGAAAAGUUGAAGAAAUUUGGAGAUUCCAAUUUCAAAAGUAAUAGAUAGAUGGAGGAAAAAACACAUGAAAUCAAAUGGAAUCUAAGCUAAAUAGAAUAAUAUUAUUAUCAUGAUGAACCUCAAUAAUUUUGUGACAUCGCAAUCGUCUAUAUAUCAUUAUUUGUAUCAUUUACUUGAUUCUUCUUAUAUCUUAAAAUAAGAUUCUAAAAAUACUCCAUACGUCUCCAAAACAAAACAAAAAAAUUGCAAAAAUUUGUGUGUGAAUAUCGAUGAUAAUAUAUGCCCAAAAUUCAUAUUGGAUUAGUUAAGACUAUUAACUUUGGAAGUAUGAAAAAGUUUGAGGUUGUUCGCAAAACACCAAACUCGACUCGAGCUCGUUAAACGAGUUGAAUUCGAACAUUUUUUUUUGUUUAUUUACUAAAAGAAGUCAAGCUAAAACAAUAUGGUAUCCAACGUAAGCCUAACACGUUUAGGUCCGACUCGAAUAAGUACGACUCGUUUAAUAUUUAAUUAACUACUUUUCUCAUUUUUAUAAUAAUAAAAUUAAACAAGUUUUGAUUAGGCUCAACUCGCUUAAAACCUCUUAAUUUUUAAACGAUUUUGAGCUCGGGACGCCAAAUUCCAAGUCGACUUGACUCAUUUAUAGCUCUAAAAAAAAGUUAAAGCAACAUAUUUUUUUCUAUAUCUUUUUUUAAGUAGAAAUUUUUGAACAUAUGAUGCUUAAUUGUGAUUAUAAUCUGACCUAAAUGAUAGGAGCUUGGAGGCUAAAUGAGAUACUGUCAAUUUCAACGACUAUUUAGUAAAUUUGAUUUAAUGUUCGCAAGCAAUCAUGUUAUUUUAUUGAGAUCACGGGAAAUGAGGUCUACCUCAAGCUCUUCCCUGAUAUAUCUUUUUAUAAUAAUAAUNNNNNNNNNNNNNNNNNNNNNNNNNNNNNNNNNNNNNNNNNNNNNNNNNNNNNNNNNNNNNNNNNNNNNNNNNNNNNNNNNNNNNNNNNNNNNNNNNNNNGGGGGGAAUCAGUUACACAAAUGAUUCAGAACAGUGGAAAAGACAAAAAGAUAACAAAGAAUGCUGCAUAUCCUACAAUCUGCCCAUAAAAUAAUCCACGACCAAAAUGAAGGAAUAAAAAGACAAUUCCCUUUAAAAAUAAAAGAUCCUCAUAAGGAGAAUUGUUUAUUAAAAUAACAAUUACUUUUUGGAAUUUAAUCCACAAAAAGUUGCUACACAUCCAUCAAAAUUUUCUCAUAUUGGUCACUUAACUAUUCCUCAUUGAUAUUUUCCACCCUUCAAUUUUCAAUAAAAACAUAAAGAAAACCCCAAGAAUUCUCCUUUCUCACUUAAAAUGAACACUUGUUUAUACUCUCAAGAACUCAAAUUCUUCAUCAUAUAUACUAAACAUGCUUGAAAACUAACAGAUCCUAGCUGCAAAACUCAUUCACAAGAUAUCAUCUAACCAAUCAAACGCCUCUUCUUCCAACUUGAAAUCGAAUUCCAGCUUAUGAUUUUCCCCAUCAUUUUUUAACUCCUGCAAUGAAAUUUCAAUGUCCACAUCCUUCAGAUCAUUGAAAAACUGUCCCACAUUAUCAUCAUGCUGCAAAUUCUCCUGAAAACCCAAAUUUAGCUCUCGACAAAUAGAUGGUGACACGAAUGGCGCUUCAAACAAUUCUGAAAUGGGCUGCUCAUCGAAAUCAUUACCGAACAAAAACAAUGGAUCUUUCAAAAAUUCCACAAUGGGUUGCUCUUUCACAAUUUUUCUCGGACCAUCAGCAAUCUGCAUUGUCGUAGUGACUGUUUCUUUGAUCGGAUUGCUCGAGCCAUCAACAGUAGGCAUAGACGUUGAAACAUCAAGAACCGAUGAUGGAGACGGAUGAGAGUACAGCACAUUAGUCUCUUCUGAAACAGAAGAGCAAGCAACAUUCAAAUUAUUCCUCAUAUUUAUCGAAUUUAACAUCCUAUCAAUCUCAAUCUUCUUGGCCUUAUAAGCUUCAGCAGCCUCUUCUGCAGUUGAAAAAGUACCAAGCCAUAAUCUUUUCUUCAGAAUAGGAUCCCGAAUCUCUGCAGCAAAACUUCCCCAUUUUCUUUUACGAACUCCUUUAUACAUUUUUCCCUUCUGAUUCUCAGUUUCCCCAACCUUAUUGUCAAUACCCUCUACUACCCCAUUUUCAAAAUUAUGACCACAAUUCCCAUUCUUCACAGGGGAUUCAUAUCGAACACUUGGAACAUCAAAUGGAAUACUAAUCUCCUUCACAAUGAGCUUAUUCCUCUUAACAAAUCCAUUCAUGGAAUCAUGAAAACAAUCAUCAUCAUCACUCUCAGAAUCAGUAGCAUCCGGAUCAUUAACAAUGAUCCGAAUUUUUCUCAUUGGAUUAUCACAAUUCUCCCUUGCCACUUUCCUUUCUUUCAACAUCUUCUCUUUCUUAUUGAUCAUAUCUAAACCCAAAACCUUCUUCCUCUGAUGCCCUUUCAUUUUCUCAGUAAUAUGGCACUUGCACAAGAAAAAGACAAAACCCCUUAAACCCUCUCAAUGAACAGAACCUUAUAAAACAGCAAAAAUUAAAACUCAAGAAUCAAACUUUGAAAAUUCUCAUCCCGAAGAGAAAAUCCCAGAAUCCUAAAGCAAACAGCAAAAGCGUUUUAUAUGAAAAAACCCAAAGCAAUCCACUCCAGAGCAACCCCUGCAUACAUAAUCAAAAUUCCCAAAUUCCCAAAAUCAAAAAAAUACCCAAAUCACAAAAUCAUGUGUAUUUGUGUUUGUUCGUAGAUUUACAUGUAUAUAUAUAGAGAUUGAAGAAAAAGGCCAUACCUUUUUGACCUUAAACACAUGGAACGAUAUGGGUGACUCUGUUUUAUCCUCUGAUGAAGACAAACUGAGGAGAGAGAUUGAGAAAAACGCAAGAGCUUCCUCGAAGAUGAAGACAUGCAAUCUUUUCUCUUCUCUCUCCUCCCCUCUCUUUCUCUCUCUUCUGGUUCUCUCAAAAACACCCCUUCCUCGAAAAAGAGAGAGAAAGAGAGAUGGGAACAAGAGCUAGGAGACACAAAUGGAAAUACCCAAAUUAUAUUAGAAUUCAAAAGAUCAAGAAUAUCAAGAUUUUUGGCAGAUUUGUUUCCUAAAUCCUAAAGAUUGUAUAUGGAAAUGAAAAUCAUGAUUGUGAAUUCCAAAUUUGUAAACUUACUUGGUGGGAUUUUGCGUUUGAAUCUUCUUCCCAACUCUGUUUUUUCCACUUCUUUUUUGCUCCUCACUUCACUUCUCUUCUAUCAAAUAGUGAGCGGCAGUUUUUUGGCCUAUUUAAGCCUCUCGCGUGCACCUUGCGGGACCAUCUGGCUGGGUUAAUCCAUGCUUAGACCGGUGUCAGCUUACUACUCCAUUAAAUAGUGGUCAUGAAAGUUUGAGUUCUGUUGAGGUGUCACAUUGUGACUCGGCAGUCCGUUUGUUUAUUUGUCUUUCACGUUUUUCAUUAAUUCUUUUAUGGAUAGACAUCGUGUUUUGGUACUAUUUAAACUUUAUAAAAUGUAUGUUUUUUUUAAGAAUAUCGUGCAUUUUUUUCCCUUCCUAGAUUAGAUUCUUCUUUAAAUUGACAUCUUUUCUAUGUAUAUAUAAUUUUUGUUGUUCAGUGAAUUUAAUUUUAAAAAGAUUAUAUAAGUGUAAUUAUCAGGGUCGUUCCUGAAUAUGAAUGAGAAGAGUUGACCGUCCUAAACUUCUGAUCAGGGGUCCUGAUUAUAUAUAUAUAUAUAUAUAUAUAUAUAUAUAUAUAUAUAAUUGUGUAUUACACAGUAGGAUUAUGGUGACAGAUUUUUUGGGCUAUGACGACGGUAAACUGUCGCCAUAGUCCAGAAUAGUUAUAACGACGGGUUAAACCGUCGCUAUAGCCCAAAAAACCGUCAUCAUAGCCAACUGUAUAAUACACAGUUGUGUGCAUAUAUNNNNNNNNNNNNNNNNNNNNNNNNNNNNNNNNNNNNNNNNNNNNNNNNNNNNNNNNNNNNNNNNNNNNNNNNNNNNNNNNNNNNNNNNNNNNNNNNNNNNNNNNNNNNNNNNNNNNNNNNNNNNNNNUAUAUAUAUAUAUAUAUAUAUAUAUAUAUAUAUAUAUAUAUAUAUAUAAAUAUGUGUGUGUGUGUGUGUAAAAUUAAAAUAUAAAUAUAUUCAACUGUACCAAUUCUAAUGUAGUGUUAAAGUCCAAAUUAUUAUGAUUAUGUUUUAAGUUCCGAAAAUAUACUUUUUUAAAUACAAGUACAUCUUGUAUUUUUUAUUUAUUUUUUUAUAUUUUUUUGUUGUAAAGACAAUAUUUCAAAAAUAAUUUUGUUUUUAUUUUUCGCUUUUAACUACCAAAAUCUCAUUAACGCCUUGAUAAUUAUGUAGUUAAACUUAUAAAAGACAUUUUCACAUAAAAUUAUUACGUAUACAUUACUGGCAUAUCAAAUAAUGAUUAUAUUGACAGUUGAAUAUUGAAAUGUUUUCUUCUAAAUAUAUACUUCUACGGUUAGAGAUGUUUAGAAUAUUACUUGAGCCAAAAACUCUCAAUAAUUACGGAUAUAAUUGAACUGCUACAUAAAAUGGAAUAUUUUAAAUAAUUUGAAUUAGUAAUGCAUUUUUUUGAAUUAAACACAUGUAGUGUUUAUACUCUUUUGGUAUGUACCUAUUAGUGCACAGACCGUGGCAGAUCCACAUAAGGGCAAGGGGGCAAGUGACCCCUCUUGAUUUUUGUAAUUUUUUUUUGUUAAUUUAGGGAUAUUAAAAUAAGGUUAUUAUUAUAUAUAUAUAAAAGAAUUGGUAAUUAAUUUGUUUUAAAGAAUAAUUUCGUAAUGUAUUUUUUAAAAAAUAAAUAAUCUAUAUUUGGUGGAUUUUAUUAUUUCUUUCCUUUCAAAAUAAAGGAGUCUCGUUUGUUAAUUUUUUUUGUUUUAGAAAAAAGAGUCAUGUUUUCUUUUGAUAAUAAUAUUAAAUGACACAAUAUACUCAAAUUUUUCAUAAAAUUUUUAUUACAUGUCAUCACUAUUAAACUAAUUAACAACUCAUUAAUUUUAAUGGUAAAUAUGAAAUAAAAAACAUUGCAUUAUAGUACAAAUGAAGCUCUUUUUAUGCAUGGGAGAGAAAAAUAUUUGAUUAGUGUUAAUUGAACAAAUUCAUUUCAAAAGAAAUUUUUCGACCGUACUAUAUUUGAUUAUAUUUGGUUUUGAUUAUAUUUUUUCUGUGUUGAAGUGUCGCAUUGUAACUCGACUGUCUGUUGGUUUAUUUGUAUACUACGUUUUUCAUUAAUUGUAUUUUUUUGAAUGGAUUUUAUGUUUUUAUUUUGAGAAUAUAUCGUUCAAAUUUUAGAAAUUUUAUGUUAUUUUUAAAGAAUAUCAUGCAAUUCUUUUUUCCUUUUUUAAAUUAGAUUAUUCUUUAAAUUGACAAUUAUUGUAUGCAUAUACAAUUUAAUUUGUUCGAAAAAUUUAUUAUAUAGUUAAAUUUAUAAGGAGUAUUCCAUAAUAGGGUACUGUCAAAUAAGGAUUUUACAACCGGUUAUUAAUACGUCAUAAUUUCUUAAUUUCAUAUUUUUGUGUUUAUUUCGUGUUAAGAUAGAUACAUUAUGUGCGUUUAUAAUUAUAAUAUUUUUUUGUUACGUUAAUUGUGUACUAUUAUUAAAAUUAAUGAUAAAACUUCUUAAUUGAAUCGAUGUAUUAUUUUUUUCUAUAUUAAUACACAAAUAUUUAUGCACAAUUAUUAUUUUCUCUUUAUGGUUAGUACUACUAUUGAACUUUAAUAACAUUUGUACUAUUUCAAAAAAUUACUCAGGCUCAAAUUUUGUGUUUAGUUCAGUAAUUUCACUGCAUAAAAGAAGCUCAUACAUAUAAAUUGGUAACGUCAAGAUCUUUCUACGCGUCUCAAUCACCGAAAAGCGCGUCCAACUCCGUACAGAAAACUAAUCAGCACCGAAAGCUUGACGACUUGAGCCGUCGGGGAUAGCUACAGCGUGAAAGUCAGUACAGACUGACACAAGGUUAACAAUGGAAGUUGUGUGUUCUAGUGUUUGUGUAAAAUUUUCAUGUUACCUUUGUCUAUAAAGUGCGCUGUGCUUAUAUACUCCUCCCACUGCCUAGCUCGCAUGCAACUCACCCAAGGCGAUCUCAGCUAAUUGCAUGCAAAAACACCGUCGUCAUCUUCCAAUGCUUCAUUAAGGAAGAAAAUUGUCAGAGUACUGUGUUUUUGUUUUUGGUGGAAGUGGUUAGCAUAAAGUUUAUUUUUGGGUAAGUUGGUCAAUUGACCAAUAGAGUACUAACACGCAGACGAGGCUCUAUGUAUAUCAGCAUUCUAUUAGUCAAUUGACCAACUUACCAUAAAAUAAAUUUUAUGUUAACCGAAUCUAUUUUUGGUUAUACUCUGAUUAAUUUGUAAUCCAUUUUAGUGACUUUUUUUUUCUUCUACUUUUAUUCGAUCAAUUAUGAUGGUUAAACUUUUGAUGCUUAAUUUUAAUAUUUGAUAGAAAGUGUUGGGACGAUUUUAUCCUUUAAUAUAUCAUCAAUGUUUAUUUAAAAAAAAUUUAAAAAUUUAUCACAUCAGUUGAAUUAUACCCCACUCGGACAUCUAUGUCAAUAAUUUCUGAUAUGACAGACUCAAUUAAAUGAAAUUAAAAAAAAAUACUUCAAUCAUCUAAUUAACAAAAUUAAAAAAUAUAUUAUCGAAGUAAAAUAUAACUCACAAUUUAAGAUAAUAAUUUAUGUUUAAGUCUAAUGAAACAAGCCUCAUAGUCAAGCAUUAUUGCUUAGUGGUAGGAAUCGCGUGGGAUAUGUUUAGCCCCCUUAAUCGUGACUCAUGAAGUGACAUUGAUGGCGCCAUCUGAAAACGUCAUCAAGCAGAUUGCUCAUGACGUCAUCAACUUCAUCCAACGGUUGAAAAUGUCUCUCUGUUCUUGGAUACUAGGAAAACACCAUCCUCCGAAAAUACACAGAAAAAAAGAAAAAGAGAAUAACAAUAGUAAUAUUAAUAAUGCGUUCCAAACAGGCAUUUCAUUUCUAGAGAGAGAGAAAGAAAGCAGGGAGAGAAACAGCGAAUUAUUCUUCAUGGAGGCUGAGAAGAAGAGGAAGAAAGCAGAGAUCGGCACGGUGGAGAGCGGCGGCGGACGGCGGAGAAAGAAGGAGGCUGCCACCACCCCUCCGCCGACGGAGGAAGAGGUGGAGGAAUUCUUCGCGAUUCUCCGGCGGAUGCGUGUUGCCGUUAAGUACUUCGAGAACAAUAAUAUCAACUGCGAUAUACCUAUUAAUCUAACUGAUAGUUUGGUGCCGGUGAAGACGACGGUGACUGAGCCGGUUGACGACGUUAAAGGUGGAGAUAACGGCGUUUUGGAUCUCAACUCGAUUCCUGACGGCGAAAGUAACAGCGAUUAACGUAGGUGGUUAUGCAUGGUUUUAUAUUACUUGUCAUGUGAUAUUUAUUUUUUAAUAUUUAAUUCGUGGACAUGUUUUGUUGUUUUAUUCUUGCGAUUAUUCUUGAGAGUAUUUAGAAAAUUAUUUAUUUAUUUUUUAAUUUAGAAAAUUAUUUCUUUAGGAGCUAUAAUAAAGAAGAAAGUUGAGGGUGAGAAAAUUUCUUCUCACUUCAUUUUUUUCUAUUUAUAUAAAAAAACUUAAAAUUUCUAAUUAUGUUAUUUCCUUCUCAACUUACAAACAAGAAUGAAAACAAAUAUUCUAGUUUAAUUUCUAUAUAUAUAAUGAAAGAUUGUUGAGAUUUUAUAUUUAUAUAGUUCGAGACUUUAUAAAGUUCUUGAAUAAUAUAUUAUACUUAGAACUACAAAAAUUCAUGCUUCAUUCUAAAUGUUGAGAAAACUUGAAGUUCUAUAAUGAUUAUAGAGAAAUAUUACAUAGCAAAAAUCAUGUAUUAAAGGAUUCUCCCGUAUUGAAAAUAUAGUUAAG